UACUGACGCUGAGGUACGAAAGCAUGGGGAGCAAACAGGAUUAGAUACCCUGGUAGUCCAUGCCGUAAACGAUGUCUACUAGCCGUUGGGGCCUUUGAGGCUUUAGUGGCGCAGCUAACGCGAUAAGUAGACCGCCUGGGGAGUACGGUCGCAAGACUAAAACUCAAAUGAAUUGACGGGGGCCCGCACAAGCGGUGGAGCAUGUGGUUUAAUUCGAUGCAACGCGAAGAACCUUACCUGGCCUUGACAUACUAGAAACUUUCCAGAGAUGGAUUGGUGCCUUCGGGAAUCUAGAUACAGGUGCUGCAUGGCUGUCGUCAGCUCGUGUCGUGAGAUGUUGGGUUAAGUCCCGCAACGAGCGCAACCCUUUUCCUUACUUGCCAGCAUUUCGGAUGGGAACUUUAAGGAUACUGCCAGUGACAAACUGGAGGAAGGCGGGGACGACGUCAAGUCAUCAUGGCCCUUACGGCCAGGGCUACACACGUGCUACAAUGGUCGGUACAAAGGGUUGCUACACAGCGAUGUGAUGCUAAUCUCAAAAAGCCGAUCGUAGUCCGGAUUGGAGUCUGCAACUCGACUCCAUGAAGUCGGAAUCGUUAGUAAUCGCGGAUCAGAAUGCCGCGGUGAAUACGUUCCCGGGCCUUGUACACACCGCCCGUCACACCAUGGGAGUUUGUUGCACCAGAAGUAGCAAGCCUAACUGCAAAGAGGGCGGUUACCACGGUGUGGCCGAUGACUGGGGUG
rnacentral:rRNA from 1 species